UGUUGAAACGCCGGUUCUCGUAUGAUCACCGAAGUUAAGCUACGUCGAUCCCGGUCAGUACCUCGAUGGGUGACCGCUUGGGAAUACCAGGUGCU